GGGCCAUAAUUCAGUGGCAGAGCAUCUGCUUUGCACCCAGAAGGACCCUGGUUCAAUUCCUGGAAGCUCCA